GGAUCUCUUGGUUCUGGCAUCGAUGAAGAACGCAGCGAAAUGCGAUAAGUAGUGUGAAUUGCAGAAUUCAGUGAAUCAUCGAAUCUUUGAACGCACAUUGCGCCCCUUGGUAUUCCAUGGGGCAUGCCUGUUCGAGCGUCAUUUGUACCUUC
rnacentral:rRNA from 1 species